rnacentral:rRNA from 1 species
AGCUUGCUUUUGAAGAUCAGCGGCGGACGGGUGAGUAACACGUGGGCAACCUGCCUGUAAGACUGGGAUAACUUCGGGAAACCGGAGCUAAUACCGGAUAAUCCUUUCCCUCACAUGAGGGAAAGCUGAAAGACGGUUUCGGCUGUCACUUACAGAUGGGCCCGCGGCGCAUUAGCUAGUUGGUGAGGUAACGGCUCACCAAGGCAACGAUGCGUAGCCGACCUGAGAGGGUGAUCGGCCACACUGGGACUGAGACACGGCCCAGACUCCUACGGGAGGCAGCAGUAGGGAAUCUUCCGCAAUGGACGAAAGUCUGACGGAGCAACGCCGCGUGAACGAUGAAGGCCUUCGGGUCGUAAAGUUCUGUUGUCAGAGAAGAACAAGUACCGGAGUAACUGCCGGUACCUUGACGGUACCUGACCAGAAAGCCACGGCUAACUACGUGCCAGCAGCCGCGGUAAUACGUAGGUGGCAAGCGUUGUCCGGAAUUAUUGGGCGUAAAGCGCGCGCAGGCGGUUCCUUAAGUCUGAUGUGAAAGCCCCCGGCUCAACCGGGGAGGGUCAUUGGAAACUGGGGAACUUGAGUGCAGAAGAGGAGAGCGGAAUUCCACGUGUAGCGGUGAAAUGCGUAGAGAUGUGGAGGAACACCAGUGGCGAAGGCGGCUCUCUGGUCUGUAACUGACGCUGAGGCGCGAAAGCGUGGGGAGCGAACAGGAUUAGAUACCCUGGUAGUCCACGCCGUAAACGAUGAGUGC